UACAGAGGUCCCGAGCGUUGUUCGGAUUCAUUGGGCGUAAAGGGUGCGUAGGCGGCGGGGCAAGUCUGAUGUGAAAUCCCGGGGGCUCAACCCCCGAAACUGCAUUCGAUACUGCGGUGCUUGAGGACUGGAGAGGAGACUGGAAUUCAUGGUGUAGCAGUGAAAUGCGUAGAGAUCAUGAGGAAGACCAGUGGCGAAGGCGGGUCUCUGGACAGUUCCUGACACUGAGGCACGAAGGCCAGGGGAGCAAACGGGG
rnacentral:rRNA from 1 species